AAACUACUCCCUCCGUCCAACAAAGGAUGUCUCAACUUUGACUAAAUUUGAAUGCAUCUAUACACUAACUCAUGUCUAGAUACAUCCAAAUUUUAACAAACUUGAGACAUCUUUUGUUGGACGGAGGGAGUACUAA
rnacentral:pre_miRNA from 1 species